rnacentral:rRNA from 1 species
UACGUAGGGGGCAAGCGUUGUCCGGAUUUAUUGGGCGUAAAGAGCGUGUAGGCGGCUAGAUAGGUCCGUUGUGAAAACUCGAGGCUCAACCUCGAGACGCCGGUGGAAACCAUCUAGCUAGAGUCCGGAAGAGGCGAGUGGAAUUCCCGGUGUAGCGGUGAAAUGCGUAGAUAUCUGGAGGAACACCGGUGGCGAAGGCGGCAUCCUGGACCGAGAUUGACGCUGAGGCGCGAAAGCCAGGGGAGCAAACGGG